rfam:Ictidomys tridecemlineatus contig031540, whole genome shotgun sequence.
UGGGUUGUGGCUCAGUGGUCGAGCGCUUGCCUAGCAUGUGUGGGGGUCUGGGUUCAAUCCUCAGCACCACAU